rnacentral:lncRNA from 1 species
CGCACACGGCCGCAGGUGCUGCGGCGAUGUCCCCGGCGCGCCCAGGGCGCUGCACCUGCCCCGGGAGCGGUGUCAGUGCCCGCUGGUGCCUCCCCUCCGUCCGCACGGGAACAAGGAAGCAGCUCCAACUUCCUUCAGCCAUCACUCGGCAGCGUAGUUCCCUGCUGGCACCUUCCCUACGCCCUGCGUCCUCGGGUCCCUUACCUUGCAAGGCAUUGGGGUGCUGGCUUUGGACAUGACUCGGGGCACGGGAGGGCUGCCCCUGCUGCUGCUGAGCCUUGCUGUGCUGGAUCUCCCACUGGGGACCACUGUCAGAGAUAUGACAAGGCCUGCAUCCCUGACUCUCCCAACCUCCUCGACACCCACGGAGACCAUGGCACCACUGCCCAACACCAGCUCAAGCACUGCAGCCACCUUCCCUUCCUCUCCUCCUGCAACUUCUACCCCAGAGAUGCCAAUGGAUGCCUUCAUAUCCAGUGCUUCUACAGCUCAGCAGAGCAGCCUGGCAGCCUCCAACAUCACCACACCACAGGCAAGGGGCAGCACAGCUCACAGCACUCCUGUGUCACCUGGGCUGGGACCCACCACCAGCAGUACCCCAGUAAGGUUGGGGCUCACGACCACCAGCACGCCACCUCCAACCUCCAUGGCCAUGACACCCAUCAGUGACAAGAUUACCACUUUCACAUCUGUGGGGACCAGCACAGCCCUGGCUGUCAGCUCAUCUGGAGUUGAAAUGAGCACGUUGCCUCCCUCCACGUCUACCCUUCUCUCCUCCACCGGGGUGGGCACCACGCUUGGCACCAGCACCCACCAAGGGCCAGCCAUGACCACACUGCUUGGCAGCACAUCCCCAGGGACCAGCACCACCUCUUCUUCCACCAUCCCAGAAGUGACAGACACUUCAGAUGGGCCCUUGAUGACCCCAUCAGACACCAUAACCUCCCUUGUUACCACCACAGAGUUCCUUGGGACCACCCCUGGUACUUCCACCCCAAGAGAACCAGAGACCUCCAGUGGCACUACAGAGACCACUGCCAUGGGUGUGACAGCAACUGUGUCUCCAGCUCUCCUUACCUCCUCAACACCCAUGGAGAGCUCAACACUGCUGCCUACCACUGACGCCACCACCACAGACACCCUCCUUUCCUCCAGCCCUGAAACAGAAGCCUCCACCCCAGAGGAGUCCAGCACAUCCACAGAGACUGGCAACACCUCACCUCCCACUGUGCUUCCUCCCACCACAACUACAGAAGAUUCAUCUGAAUCUACAGAAGAGUCCUUGUCAACCCUGGCAGAUACCACAGCCAGCCCUGUCAUCAGCACAUCAGACCCCAUGAGCACUCCCUCUUCAAGCUACCCAGACAGGACCGCUCCUGACAUCUUCCCCCCAACUGUGGAGUUGACUCCAGGCACUGAGCCCUCUUCCCCUGCCACCAGCUCAGCCCAGACCUCAGAGGCUACUACCCUCAGCACGCCUACAAAGCUGCCAACACUGCUGCCUGUCUGCCCCUCUGGCUCAUCCAACACCAGUGCAUCUUACCUCUUUCUGUCGCUGCGGCUGACCACCCCUCUGGACCUGAGGAACACCACAGUGCAGGAGCUGAUGUUGUCCAAGCUCCGUGAGGACCUGCAGACAGCGUUCCCGUGUGCUGGCCUGUCACUGGCAUGGCGAGGGAAGAGGAGGACUUGACUGCUGCCUGUUGCCUGGCCUGCUCUCUCCUGGACUGCCAAGCCACCCGCUCCCAGCUCCUCACUCCAUGGUGGUGCAGGCCCCUGGGGAAUCCCACACAACUCCUCUUGAGCCUGGGGCUUCCUGUCCUUCACUCUGUUCCCCCAGUCCCCUCCUUCCCCUUCCCACAGCCUGUCCGAAGAGCCCGUGCCCUCCCACCACCCUGCUCCAGACCUGGUUCCUGUGGUGGGACCCCCUCCAGCCCUGCUGCGGGGCUGGGAGAAGGGGACCCCGCAGGACUGGGCUUUUGCAUCUGGGACUGAUGGGGCAGCCAUCAAAGCCACCCUGGGGACAGAGGGAUGAGAGGAAGGAGACCUGAAGCACCCAGUACUGCUGUUCCCAAGGCUCACCUGCAGUAUUGCUGACAGAAGAGAACACCCAUGACGGGCAGUAAAUAGAAAUGCCAUGUUUUCUGUGUUGAAAUGAUGACUUCUUUUUUCAAUUUUCCAAGUUGCCUUUCCCAAUUUUCAGCUUUGCCAUCGAUUGGAGGUACCGGUGAGGAAAACUGAGUCUCCAGAGCUUUGCGUGGAGAGCCAGGCUCAGUGCUGUCCCCUCCCACCAGGGGCUGCUGCAGACAUUCCCAAGGAUGGCUCGGCACCCCGGCAGACUGGUGGUCUCUGCUUUGGAGCUCUCUGCCCCAUAACACCCCACAGUGCAGGGGCAGCACUGUGGGGCUGUGGAAAUCCCGUGGGCUGUGCUCCUUACCUGUUUUUUCCAGUCCCCAACUAAGGAGAUGGCUGCAACAUCUGUCCCCCUGCAGCAAAGUCAUUUAUUAACUGAUUAAUUAGCCAGAUAAAAUCCAGCUGAAGCAAUUAUUAGCCUUAGCAAGCCACCUCACCUGGAAAUUGAAAACUGAAAUAAUUAGCAAAAUGGCCUUGUUGUGUGUCAGGGGUUGUUUUUGGCUGAUCCCUGCUUCUUACUGGCAGCCCUCACUGCCUCAACACAGGGAGGACUGAGAGGGGGCGUGUGGGGCUGUGGGAUUCCUAACCUGGGGACUUCUCUCAGGCUGUCUGGAUUGUCAGCAGCUGGACAGGAUGGGGAGAGACACUGUGGGAUGACCCAGCUGCCUGCCAGUUCAGAGGGCCUGGGAUGAGGCUGGGCUGGAGGCUGUGCCCAGGCAGCUUGUCAGGAUGCUCCCAUUUGGGUUGCUCCUUGCAUUCCAGGGUGGCCCCUUUGCUCUUUAGGAUGCUGCCUGGCUUUUGUGGGCUUGUUGGACUCAUCGAGACUGAGAGAGGUCCCUUAGCAGCUGGGCAAGGAGCUGACGAGCAGGGCAAAGCCUGUUGGAAGGAGUCCCUGUGCAGGCUGCCUGCUGGGGUGCUGGGAAAGAAAUCCUUGUGGCCUGCCUACGCCUUGGAGCUGGGCCAGGAGUCCUCCCACGUCGCGUCCCACUGGGCUGUUUUCUCCGGCUGUUGAAUCCAUAACUUCAGACCCCAGGACAUGGCUGGGUGCCAAGGCCAGGGUAAUGGAGCCAAACUGCGUCACAAAGGGAGGAAAAGGUCCUGAAGUGCUGGGAUAAAAAGGUGACCAGGGUACUCACUGUUCCCUGCUGGCACAGCCGCCCUCCACCGUUAUUGUGGCUGGGGGACCGUGGGGGGAGGAGAUGCUCUGCUCCCCUCUGUCACCAGGGAGGAGAGGAGCUCCCUUGGAGUGGUGUCACUGCCCAGGCAGUGGUGGCACAGAGCUCUGACAAGCCCCCGACACUGCCCAUACUCUUCCUGUGCCCAUACUCUGCUGUCCUUGAGGUGCCACCUUCACCCCAUGGCUGCUUGCCUGCCCCAAACUGCUGCCCAGACAGACUUGGGAGGCUGGAUCCAAGUCCUGCUGCUUUCCCAGCCCACAAAAGAGUUCUCAGCCUCUUUGUUGUAAUACACUCCAAUCUCUCAGCAUCGUCCAAAGGAAUAAAUCUUGUGCCCAACAUGACUGUCA